AUCAUCGAUCAUGUAUGCUGUC
rnacentral:miRNA from 1 species